AACGCACAUUGCGCCCCUUGGUAUUCCGGGGGGCACACCUGUUCGAGCGUCAUUACACCAAUCAAGCCUUGCUUGGUAUUGGGCCUGGCCCCCCCGUAAAAAGGGGGACCGGCCUUAAAGAUCGUGGCGGCAUGGUCCGGCUUCAAGCGUAGCAAAUGUUUUCGCUCAUGAGGUUUCCGGAUGAUGUUCUGUCCAUAUAAAUUAUUAUUUUUCAAAGGUUGACCUCGGAUCAGGUGGGGAUACCCGCUGAACUUAA
rnacentral:misc_RNA from 1 species